UGAGGAAUAUUGCACAAUGGGCGCAAGCCUGAUGCAGCAACGCCGCGUGAGGGACGACGGCCUUCGGGUUGUAAACCUCUUUUAGUAGGGAAGAAGCGAAAGUGACGGUACCUGCAGAAAAAGCACCGGCUAACUACGUGCCAGCAGCCGCGGUAAUACGUAGGGUGCAAGCGUUUUCCGGACUUAUUGGGCGUAAAGAGCUCGUAGGCGGUUGGUCGCGUCUGCUGUGAAAACCCGAGGCUCAACAUCGGGCCUGCAGUGGGUACGGGCCGACUAGAGUGCGGUAGGGGAGAAUGGAAUUCCUGGUGUAGCGGUGGAAUGCGCAGAUAUCAGGAGGAACACCGAUGGCGAAGGCAGUUCUCUGGGCCGUAACUGACGCUGAGGAGCGAAAGCAUGGGGAGCGAACA
rnacentral:rRNA from 1 species